rnacentral:lncRNA from 1 species
CGCGGGAGGCAGCUGGGAUGGACGUUCAGCACACCAUAUGGGAACUGCAGAAUAAGGUCCUCGCUCAAGAGACGUCCAAAUGAUGCCACCACACCAACAUCAAAAUGUCCCACAGGCCCCGUCUGCGGCCACUCAUGCACAGGCAGCUGGAGCUCACGGGCACAGCUCUUCACAGGCAGCUCUAUGGGCAGGUGGGAGGGCAGCGUCACCACCUCCAACCUGGACACAAGCA